rnacentral:rRNA from 1 species
AACGAACGCUGGCGGCAUGCCUAACACAUGCAAGUCGAACGAGACCUUCGGGUCUAGUGGCGCACGGGUGCGUAACGCGUGGGAACCUGCCCUUAGGUUCGGAAUACCUCCCCGAAAGGGGUGCUAAUACCGGAUAAUUUCUUCGGACCAAAGAUUUAUCGACUUUGGAUGGGCCCGCGUUGUAUUAGCUAGUUGGUAUUGUAAAAGCCUACCAAGGCGACGAUCCAUAGCUGGUCUGAGAGGAUGAUCAGCCACACUGGGACUGAGACACGGCCGAGACUACUACGGGAGGCAGGAGUGGGGAAUAUAGGACAAUGGGGGAAAGGAUGAAGCAGCAAUGCCGGGUGAGUGAUGAAGGCGUUAGGGUAGUAAAGCUCGUUUACCCGGGAUGAUAAUGACAGUACCGGGAGAAUAAGCACCGGCUAACUCCGUG